CGACGGAGCGCGGUCAUGGGCUCUGUCCGGGGUCGAAGAUUCUGGUGUACUUCCCCGAUAUCAGAACAAUCCCCCGGACAGAGCCCUGGGCGCACCCCGCCUUUUG
rfam:Corynebacterium atypicum strain R2070, complete genome.